rnacentral:lncRNA from 1 species
UUUUUGUUUUCUUCUUUUCAAGGCCCUGUGGAAUCCUACAUGCACUGAAGUUUUAUUUAAACCAGUACAUAUUUCAACCUAGGCUAAAUCAUUAUUUGACCACAAGAAAUGCAUUACUAAUCUGUGACAUUAAACAAUGAGUAAAAUGAAUUUUUCUAUUAUUCUAUAUGUUAACUGUUUCUCAGAAUAUGUGAUACAAAAAUGUUUUCAUUCCAGAUACUUUAUACUUUUUGUAUUUGUAAAUAAUCACACAAACUUUUGAUGAAGAGUCAACUAAUAUAUGUCUGUUUUAUUCCUAUUCUAUUUUAAAAACAAAAAUAUACUUUUAUAUAGAAAUUACUUCUCUAUGCAAAUAUUCUAAAAUGUAAUAUUCCACUUGGCAGUAAAUGUUGUUACUCAACCUUCUCAUCCAUAUCAUUUGUCUCUCUGGUGAUAGUUUUCAUUUUUUUCAUCAUGUAUUCUAUGAAGAGUAGAUUAGUUUGAAAACAUUGCCUUAGUUUCUCCCAUCUUAGUGGGAAAAUUCCUACUGAAUAACUAAUUUAUCUGAAACCUCUUUUCUCUUGUGUUAAUAUAAAAAUAGUGUUUUCAAAUGGAAUAUGUAUUGAAGAGUCUUAACUAUAGUAUAUAUUAAAAAAAAAGAAAUCCUACUCAUAACCUUAUAGAGUUGAAGAAAUGCUUAUUGGCUACUGACCUCACACUGAAAGAUGUUUCUUUAAUGUGUCAUAAAAGGGUUUCUGUAUCCUGAACUUGGUAUUGCUCCCCAAUUUCUUUUGUUUCCUGUUUACUGCCUUUCUGUAAUAGCUCAUUUUAGUUAUCAAACAGCCAGGUGGCUACAAGGCACUUCUGAAUGACUCACUGUUGUGGGAACUGUGCAGGACAAUAGGAGAGCCAAAGAGCUCAGGACAGGACAGCACAUUUUCUAUCUCACAUACAAGCCAUGAAAUAGCCAUGGUUAAUGAUGGUAACAUUCAGAAAUACACAAUUUAUUGAAUUAUUUGAGUUAUUAUGUAACAUAUAAUAUGAAUAAUCAGAUGCUGGGCAUAAACCAUGCUAUUAAAUAAAACUAUAAAUGUAUUUAUUUAUACUGCCACAUGAUAUGUGCUUUUGUUGAUUUCACCCCUUAAAGCAUCCUUUUAGAAUCCAAGAUACAAAAACAUUUUUUAUUUCUCCAAUUGUUUUCAUAAUUUAUUAUUUUUGUCUCAUUUUUAAUUGUCUUAUUUUGAGUAUGACAUUUUUUUAGUGCAGAUAAUGCAAAACUCCAUCAUCUUAAGUAAAACAUUUGCCAGAUAAAGAUGUUGAUUAAUUUCAAUGGUCAAUAGUCUUUUGAAGAAGAAAGAAUACAAAUAUGAUAUUUUGACUAGGCUACAGAGAUAAAAACAUAUUUGCAAGAGGAGUAAGUCAAGAAUGCUAUUUUCACAAAAACAAGGUAGCAUAAACUGUCAUACAUAAACUNUUUUUUUUUUUUAAUUUUUAUUGUUGGUUGUUCAAAACAUUACAUAGUUCUUGAUAUAUCAUAUUUCACAAUUUGAUUCAAGUGGGUUAUGAGCUCCCAUUUUUACCCCAUAUACAGAUUGCAGAAUCACAUCAGUUACACAUCCAUUGAUUUACAUAUUGCCAUACUAGUGUCUGUUGUAUUCUGCUGCCUUUCCUAUCCUCUACUAUCCCCCCUCCCCUCCCCUCCCCUCUUCUCUCUCUGCUCCCUCUACUGACAUUCGUUUGUCCCCCUUAUAUUAUUUUUCCCCUUCCCCUCACUUCCUCUUGUAUGUACUUUUGUAUAACUCUGAGGGUCUCCUUCCAUUUCCAUGCAUUUUCCCUUCUCUCUCCCUUUCCCUCCCACCUCUCAUCCCUGUUUAAUGUUAAUCUUCUUCUCAUGCUCUUCGACCCUACUCUGUUCUUAGUUACUCUCCUUAUAUCAAAGAAGACAUUUGGCAUUUGUUUUUUAGGGAUUGGCUAGCUUCACUUAGCAUAAUCUGCUCUAAUGCCAUCCAUUUCCCUGUAAAUUCUAUGAUUUUGUCAUUUUUUAAUGCAGAGUAAUACUCCAUUGUGUAUAAAUGCCACAUUUUUUUUAUCCAUUCGUCUAUUGAAGGGCAUCUAGGUUGGUUCCACAGUCUAGCUAUUGUGAAUUGUGCUGCUAUGAACAUCGAUGUAGCAGUGUCCCUGUAGUAUGCUCUUUUUAGGUCUUUAGGGAAUAGACCGAGAAGGGGAAUAGCUGGGUCAAAUGGUGGCUCCAUUCCCAGCUUUCCAAGAAAUCUCCAUACUGCUUUCCAAAUUGGCUGCACCAAUUUGCAGUCCCACCAGCAAUGUACAAGUGUACCCUUUUCCCCACAUCCUCGCCAGCACUUGUUGUUGUUUGACUUCAUAAUGGCUGCCAAUCUAACUGGAGUGAGAUGGUAUCUUAGGGUGGUUUUGAUUUGCAUUUCUCUGACUGCUAGAGAUGGUGAGCAUUUUUUCAUGUACUUGUUGAUUGAUUGAUUGUAUGUCCUCCUCUGAGAAGUGUCUGUUCAGGUCCUUGGCCCAUUUGUUGAUUGGGUUGUUUUGUUUUCUUGAUUUCAAUGCCAAUGACUACAGAAUGCAGUUGAAAGUAUGUAUUGGUUAUGUAUGCACAUAUGUAUUAUUAUGUGUUAUAUAUUAUUAAAGGUUAAAUUUCUUUGAAAUGUUCUUUAUGGACUAUGGAAAGUUUCAAUGAUAAACAUUUAUCAUGUGAAUGAUAUCUGCUAUGCCAAACUAAGGUCUUUAUUAUAUGUAUUAAGGAGAUUAUUUUAUAAUAUAAUAGGGGAAUUAUUUAUUCAAAUAGAGAAGGAAUUAAGGAAAGCCAUGGACACAAUUUCUAGUAAGUUUAAUAAUCAUUAACAUAUUUUAUCAUUAUUCUAACUCAUUCUGAAUAUUUAGUCAUGUCUUUAAAUAUAAACUUAUUAAAUGUUGUUACCAUAUUUUUAAAUGUAGGUACUUAAAAUUUUCAUUUAGGUUCAUGACAUAUAGCUAUGUUUUAAGUUUUAAGUGAGACUCUAAUAUAUGUUAUAUAUAUGUGUGUGUGUGUGUGCAUAAUUUUAUUAUGACAUGUAGUCUUACUUGCUGAAGUUUUCAAAAUUACUAAUUUUCCUUAAUUACCUAAUUGGAUUUUGUGUUAAAUAUUUAUGUGCAAAACAAAAUAGUUUUCUUUCCAUGUUUAACUUAAAACCAGAGGCAGGCAUCUCCAGAUUUAACAUAGGAAUGCUUUUUACAUUGUAUUUUAUUCUUAUUUCUCCUUAUUUGAUUCUCCAAAUGAAACCCCAUCAAAUUUUAAUUUCUCAUAUAAAAAUUCUCAAAAAGGGCUAUAUCUCACUUGAUGCUCUUUUUGGUAACAGUAAAUGUCAAUGUGAUAUGUUGGCACCUUAAAAAACAAAACAGUAACACUAGCUUACGUUUUCAAGCAUAUGUUAAUUUCAUUUGAUAUAUUUAGUUAAAAUAAGCCCAAAUGUCAGUGAAUAGAUUGAUGUGUUUCCUCCAUUCAAAAGAAUCAUUCUUCAUACUAAUGAGCAUUAGAAUGUCAUAUAUGUUCCAAAUGACAUGUUGUAUAUCUUGAUUUAUAUAAUGGAGAAGAAUAAAACAGGCUGUAAAAUGGAGAAAGGAAGAAAAAUAUAAGCAUCAUUUUAAUUCUAUCCUUUAUUAUCUUCUCUCACCUCUAUUUUUUAAAAGCUUAUCUCCAUCUAUUUUAUGGUUUGCUGCAUGUGGAUGCACAUUACAAGAAGUCAAUCAACAGAGGCCCAAAGGAUAAUAAGAUAUUUUAUGAUGACUGUUUUUACUAUCUGAAAACUGUUUGUAUCUUUAAUUUGUAAACAUCAUGGUCAGUCUGUAUAUAUACAAACACACACACACACACACACACACACAAAAUGAGAAUUUUCUCAUGUUAAAGUUGUCUUUGUAAAAAAGGAACUUGAUUAGGAGGAGCACAGGUGUAGGAAGCAUAGGCAGUCUUAGAGAAAAGAAAGGGCAAGUUUCAUGACUCUGGGGAAAAACGAUGGCAAGUGAAUGCUAAUUUGAUUCUGAUGGAGGAAAACAUUAGUAAUGGCAAGGGUAAAACAAUGCUGCCUAUAAGUCACUCUAAGAUUUAGUUUGGUUUUUUAAAGUUUCCAUGUUUUUGAAAAUAUGACUCCAAAGAUGAAGGAUUCCAUUACUCCUAUAUGGAAAAUAGCUGGUAGUUUAAUUUUCAUGAGCAGUCUGAGAGACAUGUGUACUAAUAAAUUUUGAAUGUAAAUGUUGGGGAGAGUGAAUAAAUGUCAUACCUUCAUACUCAGGCUCUUUCUAGCACUUUCUUCUUAAUAAGGCUGACAAGAUUUCUGAUCUGAAAAAAAACUGCUGUUUAACUCUUUCAUAACAAAUAACCUUAUGUGGAAAUAAAUGUUAAUUUCUUUACCAUGGUUUAGUUAUUUCUUAAGAAAUUAAUAUUUUAAUGUAGAUUUCUGAUUUAAUUUCUAUUUCUAGUAAAAAUUUUUAUGAAACUUUAUUUUGUGAUUUAUGUUCUUAAAAAAUCUCUAUAACUGAUUGCCUUUUGGUUAUAGCUACAUUAAUUCUAAAGAGAGGAUACUGAAAAUUGCCUAGACUCUUAAAAACUGUACUGUCAAUUUCAAAAAUACAUUUUCAGCAUGAGUCAAACUUUAUAUAUGCAUAGACAUAACUAUAUAUAACUGUUCCAAUAUUUUGUUAUAUGAUUAUAAGCUUUAGAAAGCAAAAUUUUUUAAAAAAUUAAAAUAUUUUAAAAGUGAAAAGCAUCUAACAGAAUGCUGUGUAAACAUUGGGAAAGUAUUGUUGGUAUUUAAUGAAAAAAAUAUUGAAUACAGAUGAGCUAAAAUAGAGUAUUGGAUUGUCAAAUUAGAUUCACACAAAUCAAAGACCUUACCUCAUGUCAAGCUCUACUGAGCAUCUCAAAGGUUCUGGGGAUUAAGAAGCUCAGAAAACAAGGAUCCCUCUAUGCUGAGCAUACACCUCUCUUCCAGAGUAACAGGUCAGAUCUCCAAAAGAGUUUUUGUGAGCUUAC